GAUGAACGCUGGCGGCGUGCCUAAUACAUGCAAGUCGAGCGAAUGGAUUAAGAGCUUGCUCUUAUGAAGUUAGCGGCGGACGGGUGAGUAACACGUGGGUAACCUGCCCAUAAGACUGGGAUAACUCCGGAAACCGGGGCUAAUACCGGAUAACACUUUGAACCGCAUGGUUCGAAAUUGAAAGGCGGCUUCGGCUGUCACUUAUGGAUGGACCCGCGUCGCAUUAGCUAGUUGGUGAGGUAACGGCUCACCAAGGCAACGAUGCGUAGCCGACCUGAGAGGGUGAUCGGCCACACUGGGACUGAGACACGGCCCAGACUCCUACGGGAGGCAGCAGUAGGGAAUCUUCCGCAAUGGACGAAAGUCUGACGGAGCAACGCCGCGUGAGUGAUGAAGGCUUUCGGGUCGUAAAACUCUGUUGUUAGGGAAGAACAAGUGCUAGUUGAAUAAGCUGGCACCUUGACGGUACCUAACCAGAAAGCCACGGCUAACUACGUGCCAGCCGCCGCCGUAA
rnacentral:rRNA from 1 species